rnacentral:misc_RNA from 1 species
UUUUUUUUUUUCAUCAUCUUUUUGAUAAAACAUGCAUGCAGACUUGGUGAGCAGCGGCCUGUUAGAUCUGCCGAAUUGGACAAAGAUUUUUGCAUAAAAUCUUGUUUUUUUAGAUUGUACUUGGAAAGGUGGAUCUAACAUGGGGAAACGAGUCAUUUUUUUUUUCUUUAUUGUGACAUCUGGAUUUAUUUACACAAAAAAACUGUAAAAAAAAAAAAAAUGAUUGUUAUUACAUAGUUGAUGGACACUAGGUAAUAUUGUAUGUAUGUGAUAUAAACAUGAAUGAUCAAUGUGUAAGUUAGUUCAAAUCCAUAGAAAUCAUUGUGUAUACUUGUCAAGUUGUCCAUUAUUGUUUACCCCCAGAAAUGGGGAAUAAAAUUUUAUUAAAAUUU